rnacentral:lncRNA from 1 species
CAUGGGUUCUUUUGUUCCAAAUUGAAAUCUAUCUUGUACCUUCAAUCUUGUCGUCUAAGCCCUGCCAAUGGCUUACUUGGCCCUCCUAACAUUUUUUUUUUUUUAAGCAAACAGUUUGGACUUGUAACUGAAAAUGGCCAUUUUUCCUAUGGACCAGAUUUCCGCUGUUUACUUAAUCCAGAGGCACAGUGGUUCUCCUUAUCUCCAUCCCUCCAGGCCGGUGACAGGAGACCCCAGGCAGUGUGCGAACCCGUCAGAAAUGACACAGGUGCUGAGAGCAACCCCUGCUCAGGAACCUGCACAGGUCAGGACAUCCCAGAGGUGGAAACAACCCAAAAGCCAUCCUAGGGGGUGGGGGGUGAAUAAACGGACCGUGGAACAUCCAUUCCUCUGUGGUCGACUAGUCCAUGCUGUGGCUUCAAGUCCCAAUCGCGGUUUUGGUGGGGUGUACUUUUUAUUCCUCUUUUUGCAUUAAAAAUUUUAUUCUUGAUUCUUCUAUCAAGGUCGUUUUAGGACAAAAGCGUCCUCCCAGACGCACGGAGGCAAAAGGG